UUCUACGAGUAUUAUAUCCGUGAUUGAGGUACUCCAUCGAAUUUCGAUUUUUAAAGCUUUGCAUAAGUAGGGUGUGGAAGUACAUCCCUCUCAUAUCAAGAACUUUUGCUUCCAAAAAAAGAUUAUCUGUUGGAUACAAUCUCUCCCUACGUAGCAUGAUUCUCAAGAAGUAAUUCUGUAGAACCUGUAAUCCUUUUAGAUGUAUAUCAUACAGGCCACCCCAGGCCAGAAUACCAUAUUGAAGCCGGGAUUCUACGAGUGCAUGGUAUAAUAUUUUCAUCUGCUUGAAUCCCAAUAUUUGAUUAAGAGAGCGAAAUCGAUGGAGAAAUCGUCGCAGUGUAUUUAUUGUAUUACGGCAGUGAACAUCCCACCGGAGAUGCCGGUCGAUAUGUAUACCUAGGUACCUAAUGGAACUCACUUGGCCAAUUCUGAAUGUUGUUUCUCCGUCACAUAUCAACAGAUCAUCAAAACGUGGUAGCCCACCUGCGCAAAGUGAAAAAGGUAGCUGUUCAACCUCGUUCCGACAAUCUUCUCAAAUACCUUGGCAAAAGAGGUAAUCAGCGAUAUAGGCCUAUAAUUUGAAGAUAUUUCUCGAGUGACACAAUGAAAUCAUCAACAUCUGUUGAUGGAGGUCUAUAAACACCAGUGACGAGUAAUUUCCCACCUUGUGGAAGAGUGAUCGUGACCUCAAGUACCUUCACUGGUUUAAUAUGUACAAUAUCGUGCUGGAAGGUGUAACAUGUCUUCAAAUAAACAACUACUCCAUC